rnacentral:rRNA from 1 species
AUUGAACGCUGGCGGCAGGCCUAACACAUGCAAGUCGAACGGUAACAGGAAGCAGCUUGCUGCUUUGCUGACGAGUGGCGGACGGGUGAGUAAUGUCUGGGAAACUGCCUGAUGGAGGGGGAUAACUACUGGAAACGGUAGCUAAUACCGCAUAACGUCGCAAGACCAAAGAGGGGGACCUUCGGGCCUCUUGCCAUCGGAUGUGCCCAGAUGGGAUUAGCUAGUAGGUGGGGUAACGGCUCACCUAGGCGACGAUCCCUAGCUGGUCUGAGAGGAUGACCAGCCACACUGGAACUGAGACACGGUCCAGACUCCUACGGGAGGCAGCAGUGGGGAAUAUUGCACAAUGGGCGCAAGCCUGAUACAGCCAUGCCGCGUGUAUGAAGAAGGCCUUCGGGUUGUAAAGUACUUUCAGCGGGGAGGAAGGGAGUAAAGUUAAUACCUUUGCUCAUUGACGUUACCCGCAGAAGAAGCACCGGCUAACUCCGUG